GCGCCCGUAGCUCAACUGGAUAGAGCAAGUGCGUUCUAAGCAUUCGGUUGGGGGUUCGAGUCCCUCCGGGCGCACGA
rnacentral:tRNA from 1 species